rnacentral:rRNA from 1 species
AGAGUUUGAUCAUGGCUCAGAUUGAACGCUGGCGGCAGGCUUAACACAUGCAAGUCGAGCGGAGAUGAGGUGCUUGCACCUUAUCUUAGCGGCGGACGGGUGAGUAAUGCUUAGGAAUCUGCCUAUUAGUGGGGGACAACAUUCCGAAAGGGAUGCUAAUACCGCAUACGUCCUACGGGAGAAAGCAGGGGAUCUUCGGACCUUGCGCUAAUAGAUGAGCCUAAGUCGGAUUAGCUAGUUGGUGGGGUAAAGGCCUACCAAGGCGACGAUCUGUAGCGGGUCUGAGAGGAUGAUCCGCCACACUGGGACUGAGACACGGCCCAGACUCCUACGGGAGGCAGCAGUGGGGAAUAUUGGACAAUGGGGGGAACCCUGAUCCAGCCAUGCCGCGUGUGUGAAGAAGGCCUUAUGGUUGUAAAGCACUUUAAGCGAGGAGGAGGCUACUGAGACUAAUACUCUUGGAUAGUGGACGUUACUCGCAGAAUAAGCACCGGCUAACUCUGUGCCAGCAGCCGCGGUAAUACAGAGGGUGCGAGCGUUAAUCGGAUUUACUGGGCGUAAAGCGUGCGUAGGCGGCUUUUUAAGUCGGAUGUGAAAUCCCCGAGCUUAACUUGGGAAUUGCAUUCGAUACUGGGAAGCUAGAGUAUGGGAGAGGAUGGUAGAAUUCCAGGUGUAGCGGUGAAAUGCGUAGAGAUCUGGAGGAAUACCGAUGGCGAAGGCAGUCAUCUGGCCUAAUACUGACGCUGAGGUACGAAAGCAUGGGGAGCAAACAGGAUUAGAUACCCUGGUAGUCCAA